ACAGGUUAAUAUUCCUGUACUACCUAUAGGAGUGAUGUGGAGACGGAGGAGUGACAACGCCGCGGACUGACGGAAUAGUCCGUUAAAGGGUGUAGAUGUUGAUUAUCCCAGGCAAAUCCGGGAUAAGAGUCGAACCUGACAGUAUACCAAUUUCCUCGGAAAACGGUAAUAGUGCGUGUAAACAUACUCCCAAGAAAAUCCGCUAAACUUAAUCUUAUAGGUACCCGUACCGUAAACGGACACACGUAGUCGGGUUGAAUAUACUCAGGCGCUUGAGUGAAUCACGGUUAAGGAACUAGGCAAAUUGACCCUGUAACUUCGGGAUAAAGGGUCCCUACCCGGUGACGGGAGGGCGCAGAGAAUAGGUCCAGGCAACUGUUUAACAAAAACACAGGGCUGUGCAAAAUUGAAAGAUCACGUAUACAGCCUGACACCUGCCCGGUGCUGGAAGGUUAAGAGGAGAUGUCAUCGCAAGAGAAGCAUUGAAUUGAAGCCCCAGUAAACGGCGGCCGUAACUAUAACGGUCCUAAGGUAGCGAAAUUCCUUGUCGGGUAAGUUCCGACCCGCACGAAUGGUGUAAUGAUCUGGACACUGUCUCAACCGUGAGCUCAGUGAAAUUGUAGUAUCGGUGAAGAUGCCGAUUACCCGCGAUGGGACGAAAAGACCCCGUGAACCUUUACUAUAGCUUAACAUUGAAUUUGGGUAAUUGAUGUGUAGGAUAGGCCGGAGACUUUGAAGCAGGCACGCCAGUGUUUGUGGAGUCGCUGUUGAAAUACGGCCCUUUGGUUAUUUGAGUUCUAACUCGCUGAUGCGAGGACACUGUUUGGUGGGUAGUUUGACUGGGGUGGUCGCCUCCAAAAGCGUAACGGAGGCUUCUAAAGGUGCCCUCACGCCGAUUGGUAACCGGCGGUAGAGUGUAAUGGCAUAAGGGCGCUUGACUGGGAGACUUACAAGUCGAUCAGGUAGGAAACUAGAGCAUAGUGAUCCGGUGUUUCCGUAUGGAAGGGACAUCGCUCAAAGGAUAAAAGGUACUCCGGGGAUAACAGGCUGAUCCCUCCCAAGAGCUCAUAUCGACGGAGGGGUUUGGCACCUCGAUGUCGGCUCGUCACAUCCUGGGGCUGGAGAAGGUCCCAAGGGUUGGGCUGUUCGCCCAUUAAAGUGGCACGCGAGCUGGGUUCAGAACGUCG
rnacentral:rRNA from 1 species